ACUCCUACGGGAGGCAGCAGUGGGGAAUAUUGCACAAUGGGCGCAAGCCUGAUGCAGCCAUGCCGCGUGUAUGAAGAAGGCCUUCGGGUUGUAAAGUACUUUCAGCAGUGAGGAAGGCGGGUACGUUAAUAGCGUGCCGUUGAUCGUUAUGCUGCAGAAGAAGCACCGGCUAACUCCGUGCCAGCAGCCGCGGUAAUACGGAGGGUGCGAGCGUUAAUCGGAAUUACUGGGCGUAAAGCGCAUGCAGGUGGUUUGUUAAGUCAGAUGUGAAAGCCCGGGGCUCAACCUCGGAAUAGCAUUUGAAACUGGCAGACUAGAGUACUGGUAGAGGGGGUAGAAGUUUCAGGUGUAGCGGUGAAAUGCGUAGAGAUCUGAAGGAAUACCGGUGGCGAACGGCGGCCCCCUGGACAGAUACUGACACUCAGAUGCGAAAGCGUGGGGAGCAAACAGGAUUAGAUACCCUGGUAGCUACG
rnacentral:rRNA from 1 species